UACAGUAGAGAGUUGAUAGCUGGAGGUCAACGAAGACGGUUGGCGAAUAAUAAGAUCUCUCCUACACAGAGGAGCCCGUUUUCAUCACCGCCGUGCCGACUUCAUCAAACGUCAACGCCGGGCACGCUUAUUUCAACCCGUUUUCAUCACCGCCGUGCCGACUUCAUCAAACGUCAACGCCGGGCACGCUUAGUUUAACCCGUUUUCAUCACCGCCGUGCCGACUUCAUCAAACGUCAACGCCGGGCACGCUUAGUUUCACCCGUUUUCAUCACCGCCGUGCCGACUUCAUCAAACGUCAACGCCGGGCACGCUUAUUUCACCCGUUUUCAUCACCGCCGUGCCGACUUCAUCAAGCGUCAACGCCGGGCACGCUAAUUUCACCCGUUUUCAUCACCGCCGUGCCGACUUCAUCAAGCGUCAACGCCUGACUCAUCAAUCCCGUUUAUUUCCAUCGCGCUGGUCUGGCUGUCCGCAUAAGGAGUGGGGGUGUGGAUAUAACUUUACGAGGAUAAAACUCGUCUCUCUUUUGCUAAGGGUUCGUGGGUCCCAAGGCUGACCCUGGAGCGGCUGAGCAUACCUCAGCUAUGGACGAAACCCCAUUACAAGCUGUUUU